UAAACCCCAGAUCAAUGAUCCUCAACUGGGGUAAGGCUGCUCUCUUAGGAACCUUUGGCAAUGUCUGGAGACAUUUUUGAUGGUCAAGACUGGGAACAGGGGACAGGAUACAAUCAGUGAGCGCUGGGGCUGCUGUUGCACCUCCUGCAACACGCAGAACAGCCUGCCCACAACAAAGCACACUCCAGGCAUUCUGGGUCAGCAGCAGCACCAGAGCCAAGAUGGCGGCCAGCAGGAGGCUGAUGAAGGAGCUUGAAGAAAUCCGCAAGUGUGGGAUGAAAAACUUCCGCAACAUCCAGGUCGAUGAAGCUAAUUUGCUGACUUGGCAAGGGCUCAUUGUUCCCGAGCACCCUCCCUAUGAUAAGGGGGCCUUCAGGAUCGAAAUCAACUUUCCAGCAGAGUACCCCUUCAAACCACCGAAAAUCACGUUCAAGACGAUCUAUCAUCCGAACAUCAAAGAGAAGGGGCAGGUGUGUCUGCCGGUAAUUAGUGCUGAGAACUGGAAGCCAGCAACCAAGACCGACCAAGUCAUCCAGUCCCUCAUAGCACUGGUGAACGACCCCCAGCCGGAGCACCCGCUCCGGGCUGACCUAGCCGAAGAAUACUCCAAGGACUGUAAAAAAAUUCUGUAAGAAUGCUGAAGAAUUUACAAAGAAAUAUGGGGAAAAGCGACCUGUGGACUAAAAUCUGCCGCGAUGGAUUCCAGCGACUGUGAACAGAGGCCCCGAGCAGUAGCAUUGAGACACGCCGCAAAGCACGACUCUGUAGAAAAUUGACACGUGCCUCCGCCUGGCGUCUGCUUGUGGCCGUUACUAACUUUCUACAGUUUUCUUAAUCAGAAGUGGUCUAGGUAACUUGUAAAGAGAGGAUUAAAAAUUUAAGAUG